CAAUACAACCGGCGCACGGGUGAGUAACGCGUACACAACUUACCAUAUACUGGGGUAUAGCUUUGGGAAACUGAAGGUAAUCCCCCAUAACAUUGCGAGAGGGCAUCUGAUUGCAAUUAAAGUUUCGGCGGUAUAUGAUUGGUGUGCGUUUGAUUAGCUAGUUGGUAGGGUAACGGCCUACCAAGGCGACGAUCAAUAGCUGGCGUGAGAGCGCGACCAGCCACACUGGAACUGAGACACGGUCCAGACUCCUACGGGAGGCAGUAGUAGGGAAUAUUGGACAAUGGAGGAAACUCUGAUCCAGCCAUGCCGCGUGAUAGAUGAAGGCCCUCUGGGUUGUAAAUAUCUUUUAUCUGGGAAGAAACCAUCUUUAUUCUUAAGAUCUUGACGGUUCCCAGAGGAAUAAGCACCGGCUAACUCCGUGCCAGCAGCCCGCGGGUAUUACGGAGGGUGCAAGCGUUAUCCGGAUUCACUGGGUUUAAAGGGUGCGUAAGGCGGGCUUGAUAAGUCAGUGGUGAAAGCUCCCAACUUAACUUGGAAACCUGCCAUUGAUACUGCCAGUCUUGAAUG
rnacentral:rRNA from 1 species